GUCCACGCGGUAACGAUGAAUACUAGAUGUCGGGUAGCAAAGCUACUCGGUGUCGUCGCAAACGCAAUAAGUAUUCCACCUGGGGAGUACGUUCGCAAGAAUGAAACUCAAAGGAAUUGACGGGGCCCGCACAAGCAGUGGAGUAUGUGGUUUAAUUCGAAGCAACGCGAAGAACCUUACCAGGUCUUGACAUCCAACUAACGAAGUAGAGAUACAUUAGGUGCCCUUCGGGGAAAGUUGAGACAGGUGGUGCAUGGUUGUCGU
rnacentral:rRNA from 1 species